rnacentral:tRNA from 1 species
CUCCAGGUCGCCAAGUGGAAAGGCGUUGGUCUGCAAAACUAACUAUUCGUGGGUUCAAAUCCCACCCUGGAGUCCA